UCCUAUCAGCAGUGGUUAAAGUAUCUCUUAUUUUUCCUCAAAGAUUAAUUUAUUUGAGAGAGAGAGCAAGGAGGAGGGCAGAGAGAGAGAGAGAAAGAGAGAGAAAGGCAAUCUCCAGCAGAUUCCCCACUGAGCAUGGAGCUAGAUGUGGGGCUUGAUCUCACGACCCCAAGAUCAUGACUUGAUGCUCAAGAGUUGGAUGCUCAACCCACUGAACUACCCAAGCACCCCAGUAUCUCUUAUUUUUAUAUUCUAUUCAUUACUGUAGAAUGUAUGGCAGCUCCUAAGUUAGUUUCUGCAAAACUCAUCUCCCCAAAGAUCUUCAAGUACAAAUCAUUAUAACUUGAUCAUUAAGCUCACCGAUUGUUAAUUUAAAAUUUAUAGAACUGAGACAUUUAAAACUAUGGUUCCUGUGGACAAAGAUUCCCAUUGCAAACGUAUUCUUGAAGUAAAAUAUCUAUCUUUCUGGGAUGACUCUGCUUAUGUUCUUUCUUUUUAAAGAUUUAUUUAUUUAUUCAUUUAUGAUAGACAGAGAGAGAGAGAGGCAGAGACACAGGAGGAGGGAGAAGCAGGCUCCACGCCGGGAACCCGUCGCAGGACUCGAUCCCAGGACCCCAGGAUCGCGCCCUGGGCCAAAGGCAGGUGCCAAACCGCUGAGCCACCCAGGGAUCCCCUGCUUAUGUGCUUUUUGAAGACAGAACGUGGCUUUAAGUAGCUAUAAUAAACUUAAGUGAAGAACCCUUCUGACAAGACCAGUCAAAUGAAGUCAAUUAAAUUUCAACUUCUUCAACAGACCUCAACAUUUGAGCUUGGAAUUUCUUGACAUGAAGCCAAGCAUUUCCAGUGACCUGAAACACUCAAGGUUUACACUGAAAUCCCUGCUGUCCUUACUACCACAGACAUCCCCAACAUGUGUCCCCAAGGGCUUCAUGCUUCUGUCACUCCAGCAAAUAGUGGUGUGGUGCUUUUUUGUCUCGUGCUUGUCCUCUUUAUGGUCAAUAACAUUCAUUAAGGAGACGGAUGGUCAAAAUUUGAUGUGUAAGCUUGUGAUUAGAGUUGGUGUAAGUUUCAAAACGGAACUCAAAUUUGCCUUUAAUUGUUCUUUCAUUUGUAAAGUCUGUCAUACACUUAAUAAAAUAUGAAUGUAUUAAUCAUUUAAUGAUGGCCCACGAUAUGGUAUCUGCUCUAGGUGCUAAGAAUUUAGCAGUGAAUAAAAAAAUAAAUUGCUUGCCUCA
rnacentral:lncRNA from 12 species